rnacentral:rRNA from 1 species
UACGUAGGGGGCAAGCGUUGUCCGGAUUUAUUGGGCGUAAAGAGCGUGUAGGCGGCCUGACAGGUCUGCUGUGAAAACUCGAGGCUCAACCUCGAGAUGUCGGCGGAAACCGUCUGGCUAGAGUCCGGAAGAGGAGAGUGGAAUUCCUGGUGUAGCGGUGAAAUGCGCAGAUAUCAGGAGGAACACCGGUGGCGAAGGCGGGUCUCUGGGCCGAUACUGACGCUGAGGAGCGAAAGCGUGGGGGAGCGAACAGG